rnacentral:rRNA from 1 species
AUUACUCCUACGGGAGGCAGCAGUGGGGAAUAUUGGACAAUGGGCGCAAGCCUGAUCCAGCCAUGCCGCGUGUGUGAAGAAGGCCUUUUGGUUGUAAAGCACUUUAAGCGAGGAGGAGGCUACUUGGAUUAAUACUCUAGGAUAGUGGACGUUACUCGCAGAAUAAGCACCGGCUAACUCUGUGCCAGCAGCCGCGGUAAUAAU